GAGAGAGACAUGCGCGCAUAUCAAUAAGCGGAGGAAAAGAAACUAACAAGGAUUCCCUUAGUAACGGCGAGUGAAGCGGGAAGAGCUCAAAUUUGAAAUCUUCAAGGUUUUACCUUGACGAAUUGUAGUUUAAAGAAGUGUUUUCUGCUGAAGUUUUGGUAAAAGUUCUUUGGAAUAGGACAUCAUAGAGGGUGAGAAUCCCGUAUUUGACCAUUAUUUUCAGCUUUGUGAUACACUUUCAAAGAGUCGGAUUGUUUGGGAAUGCAGUCCAAAAUGGGUGGUAAAUUUCAUCUAAAGCUAAAUAUUGGCGAGAGACCGAUAGCGAACAAGUACCGUGAGGGAAAGAUGAAAAGAACUUUGAAAAGAGAGUUAAACAGUACGUGAAAUUGUCAAAAGGGAAGCGUUUGACACCAGUGUUGUUUUCUCGAAAAUCAAUUAAAAAUGGCUCGAUUUUGUAUUGUUGAGACCUUAAAAGCUCGCUGUACAUUUUUCGUGUCUUUUUUAAUGCACUUUUCGUUUAACAAGUCAACAUCAGUUUCUUUCGUUGUAAAAGGGUCAUUGGAAGGUGGCUUUCUUUUCGGAGAAAGUGUUUAUAGCCUUUGGCCUCUGCAAUCGAAGAGACCUGAGGUCUGCAGCGUAGACUCUUCGGGGUUAGGUACAUUUGUGCUAAGUUAUAGCUUUUUAUAGACAACUUGUUGACUAUAAUUAGUCUUGUAGCUUACUCGCUUAUGCUAUUUUACCUACGCUUAGGAUGUUGAAGAUGUAGCACAUCAU
rnacentral:rRNA from 1 species